GUCACUAUUAGAUAAACUCUAUGCAAGAAUGUUCUCCAAGGUUUCUCUCUGUUCUUACCCUUUGGCUUCCAGGGCCAGAGGUCUUGAAGCAGCCCCCUCCAUGACAAACUUUCAGAUAUACUACUAGGCCUGGAGUGGGAAGGGCCACUGCUACUGAACUACUAAAAGCUUAUAUCCAAAGGAUGUUUAUACCAUUAAAGUGCCAAAAAUAUAAUGCUAAUGGGAAAAAACUACAUAUACAGCAUGAUCCCAAUUUUGUUUAAAUAAAUACCUCAUAGCUCUGUGUAUGUACGUUUGUGCAUAUGUAAGUUGUGUGUGUGUGUGUGUGAAUAUACAAUUGGAAGGAAA
rnacentral:lncRNA from 1 species